rnacentral:misc_RNA from 1 species
GCAAACUUGGUCAUUUAGAGGAAGUAAAAGUCGUAACAAGGUUUCCGUAGGUGAACCUGCGGAAGGAUCAUCAUAAAUAUGAUUUUGAGUAUGUGUAUAUAAUAUAUAUACAUACUACUUCCAUAUACGCCCCAUAAUUAUAUAAUCGUAGUUAUAAAUCAUUAUAGUUUAUUUAUAAUAUAUUAGUACAACUUUUAACGAUGGAUCUCUUGGCUCUCGCAUCGAUGAAGAACGCAGC